GUGUUCAACAACAAUCGAUCGCACGAAGAAAUCUAAAGUUUACCCGAUUAAACUUACGAAACUCUAAAAUAAUGAGUGAAUCUUACAGGACCAAACAUAACAAUGCAAACCCAACUACACUCUUUGUUGAACUAAAACCCAUGAUAAACCACUGAUCAAACCAUCCACUGUGACAAAACAUUCACAAUCCCUCACUAAUUAUAUACCAAAGUUACUAUUCUACAAUAAGAUAUGACAUACUUUUUGAAUGCUGAUGAUGAUGACGAUGAUGACCCAUAUUUGACAACUUAACUCUGAGACUAUAUACUAUGAAGUAAACAUCCUGACUGAGGUAAAGAAGUGGAUUGCAACGGCACUCAAAAUAAGAACAACUAAACUACCCACAUAAUUCUUAACUUACAAAGAAUAUAUUGAUACUAAAUGAGGACCAAGCCUACUUUACCUGGAAUAACACUUUAUCAACAACAGUAACUUCCUCCACAUUAAUUGUUUUCUAAAUCUAUUGUUAUGUCUGACCGCUACCCUUUCAUUACAAAAUAUUUUUUAUUAUUUUUUCUUUCAAAUGAGAUUAAUGUUAUAUUUUCUUUUCUUUAUUAACUGUAACUCAUUGUAUUUGUUUAGGAGAAUGUCUUAUAACAUCUGCUACUAAUUGGCUCUCUGGAAUCUGAUAAUUAGAUUUGGGCCUUUCCGGUUACUCUAAGUUAAGAUGUUAGCAUAGAUAGUGUUACAGUUCUAUCCCAACUCCUAUGAUCUAUGUUGUAUAAUAUAUUAUCUACUCUUUCAAACAUUCAAGUAUAGUAAUUUUAGAGCCUAGUUUUUAAGCACCUAGUCGAUGACAAGCAAAGAUCCAAUCCAGAAGCACAAUCAACCACAUCAACAAACCAAAGAACCCGCACAACAAAACUCAUACAACCAAUACCAAACUGAACCAACCCAGCCAAAAGGAUGAUUAAUAAUUAUAGACUAGUUGCUAUAACUACCGAUCCCCCCCCAACCAGGCCAGUCCAAUCCAGCACCAAUCAUACAAGCCCCGCCACGCAAACUCCUCGAUCCACCAAUGCAGCCGACCGCACCUCCAGACCAAAAUCCCCACCCCUCAUCUACCUGAGCCAGAAUGUCUAUAUCUAUUCUAAUAAUUUCAGGUUGUUCAUAAGGACUAAAAUGCGCCGUCUUUUCGUUACAUUUGUUUUUUUUUUAUAAUUUUUUAUUUUAAUAAAUUUACUGCUUUUACCUAAAAUAAGACCAUAUCAUUAUUUUACCUACAACCCCUAUUCACUAAUAAUUCCCUAAUCAGCUACAUAAUCAGAGAGAUCGUUCAUAGUGAUUCAGAGCAACACUAAUAUGACCUACCUACAGAUAAAUCAGUCUUUAUACAACUAUGUUUGAUGUUAUUCUCUUUAAAGGUAAGUAGGUACCUACCUAUUAAAAAUUAUAGAUAAUGUUCUGAAUAAGAAGAUGAUUAUAUCCUCUUAACUCCACGAGAAGCAUAGUCUUAUACACACACAACCCCUGACGAUGAUGAUGAUUAUAUCCUCCAACUCCACGAGAAACAGUCUUACACACAAACAACCCCUGAUGAUGAUAAUGAUUAUUUCCCCUUACUCCACGAGGAGCAUAUCUUAAAUACAUAUACAUAUACAACCCCUGCUGAUGAUGAUUAUUAUUUCCUCUCCAUGAGGAGCAUAGCCACAUACAACCCCUAAUCUUUUGUAAUUUUUUAAUGAGCUACAUAACAUUACUACAACCCCUACUUAUUAAGUACAUUUUAAUAAAUGGAUUAUUUCCAUUUCCUCAUCCUAACUUUAUCAACUACCUACCUAUCUAUCUUCACAAAUGCUUCCCUAUUACAUUCCGUUCCAAUACAAAACCUAGCCUCUUGCGCUUCCUAUUUCAUGAUAAAUAAUUCUUUCGUUUAUAAGUUCGAUCACUCCACGGCAACAAAUUGUGAUUAUAUCAAGGAUAUAAUCACUUUCCUACCCCUAGUAUGUAACAAAUCAUUACGAACAA